GACGAACGCUGGCGGCGUGCCUAAUACAUGCAAGUAGAACGCAGUUGCGAACGGGUGAGUAACGCGUAGGUAACUGCCUCAUAGCGGGGGAUAACUAUUGGAAACGAUAGCUAAUACCGCAUACUGUGAGAUGGACCUGCGUUGUAUUAGCUAGUUGGUGAGGUAAAGGCUCACCAAGGCGACGAUACAUAGCCGACCUGAGAGGGGUAUGGGGUACACAAGGACCGGGACACGUCCCCGAGUCCUAGUGGAGCCGGCAGUAGGGACUCUGCGUGAAUGGACUGAAGUCUAACCGAGCAACGCCCCGCGAGUGAAACAGGUAUUCGGAUCGGAAAGCUCUGUUGUUAGAUAAGCGGUAACUAACCAGAAAGGGACGGUUAACUACGUGCCAGCAGCCGCGGUAAUUC
rnacentral:rRNA from 1 species